rnacentral:rRNA from 1 species
GACAGAGGGGGCAAGCGUUGUUCGGAAUUACUGGGUGUAAAGGGUUCGUAGGCGGUGUAGCAAGUCGGGAGUGAAAUCUCUGGGCUUAACCCAGAGGCUGCUUCCGAAACUGCUGUGCUUGAGUGUGGGAGAGGCGCGUGGAAUUGCAGGUGUAGCGGUGAAAUGCGUAGAUAUCUGCAGGAACACCCGUGGCGAAAGCGGCGCGCUGGACCACUACUGACGCUGAGGAACGAAAGCUAGGGGAGCAAACAGG